rnacentral:rRNA from 1 species
CUCGUAGGCGGCCAACUAAGUCCGACGUGAAAUCCCCAGGCUUAACCUGGGAACUGCGUCGGAUACUGGUUGGCUUGAAUCCGGGAGAGGGAUGCGGAAUUCCAGGUGUAGCGGUGAAAUGCGUAGAUAUCUGGAGGAACACCGGUGGCGAAGGCGGCAUCCUGGACCGGCAUUGACGCUGAACAGCGAAAGCCAGGGGAGCAAACG